CUACAAAGAUGCAAAGGUUUCAGUGAACAUUCAACGCUGUCGGUGAGUUUUCUUAGUAACGUUAAACCAUCGACCGUUGAGUGUACCCUGCGGCCUGAGUAGCAGCAGCUGAAUUGAAGGAUUUGGGUUUAAAACCAGGUCUCCCACAAGGCCUUCACUCAAACAGUUUAGUACAUUCUAAAAUACAAUUACUUUGUCUUGGUUAGAAGGUGUUAAUUACAUUGAGUUAGCUAACAAUCUAAUAUCAGACCUUUAACUCCUAGGGCUUGUCUAUAAAGGGAAAAUGAGUAGGCUAGCUAUUGCAGAAUAGCUCAGGACUCCUUAUUCAAAAUCCCCUUCCCUAAUCAUAAAUCCAUAAUGCCUUUCCCAAAGGGUAAAGUAUGUCUGCUCCUGAAGACAGUUCCUGUUCUAAACUGCACAGUUGCAACAACUUAUGUGGGUAUCACAGCUCAGCUAGUGUGAGGCAUUCAGACCGCACAUUCGUGGGGUAAAGUCAAACAGAGUUGACUGUUCCUCUUGCUCAUAUGUCUGCCACCAAGACCUUGUCUAGACAAGGGACUUGUCUACACAGGGAAAUUGACCAGAAUAGCUAUUGUGAAAUAAGGUAUUCUGCAAUUAUUAUUGCAGAGUAGCUCCCUGCAUGGACACUUUGUUCCAGAAUAAAAGUAAUUUUAUGCUAGAAUAAUUAGUGUACUUCCAAAGAAGAAUAAAUUAUUCUGGAAUACAAUCAGUGAGUAUUGUCUCAGUUUCCCUAUCUAUAACAUAGGAAUAAUACUGCCCUUCCUACACAGGUUUAAUUAAUUAAUGUUUUUAGAUUAAACAUUAAUGUUGAGAUCUUCCUGCUAUAUAAGCAUGAAUGUGUUAUAUAUGCUUAAUCUCAGUGCUCCAACUCCGUUCCUAUGGUGCUUGCGGACAGAUUCUUACAAGCCCAAAAAGUCACAAUCAACAUUCAUUGCUGUCGGUGGGUUGUGUUGUUGAAGGAAAAACUCACUGAUCAAUGAAUGCAACUGUGAUUGGAAUGGACACAUCACAUGGGAAUGACCUUGUCUUCUGACCUUCUGCUGACAAAGUGAUGGGACAUCACUUCAUUUGGAAUGCUUAGGACCUUUCAGGAAAUGAUAAUCUAAAUACAAUAUAAGACUGCAAGACAAAGGCUGGAGAAUUUCAAAGUCCUUGUGGAGUAAAUAAUAUUUUUAAAAAACAAAAAAUAGUGGACUGAUUUUCAUAGGUGCUUGCAUCUGCCAUUAACUUCAAUCAUCAUAAAAUUUAAAUAUAAAAGACAUAUUAGGGCUUUAUCCUCAGCUAGUCUAUAUCUCAAUUAGCGUAUGCCUGUUCUCUGCAGUCUAUUGUCAAGUGCUUUGUGUAGUUUUAAAAGACUUGAGCACCAGGGCUUAGAUAAGCACUCAGAAACUACAGUGAUGAGCAUGGUAAAACAGGAUAGAUAGAUAAUUCCUCUCUUCUUGGGGAGAUUAUUCUACUAAUUUUACCAUUAGGACUUGUAUUUUCAGUUACUCAUCUUAAAUUUCCUUUUAUUAUUUAUGUCACAAUGCCUCGGGCUAUUCUAAAUAAUCCUUUUUUCUCCUUGGUGUUUCAGAUACUUGUAGACAGCAUUGUAAGUCUUGCAAAGAUCUUCAUUUAUAAGUAUGAACUGAAACACAUUAAAACAGUGAGACUGGAGGUGGCAGAUGUUUUGUGAAGAGUUGGCUGAGAAGUUAAUAUUAUUCUUAAGAUUUUGGAUGACAAUCGUAGAAGAAUUGGCUGCAGUUUUGUCAAUCCUGUUGGUCAGACUAUAAAUUUAAAAUAAAAAAUGGCGAAUCACAAUUUAAUGUCAGGGAACAUGUCUAGUGGUUAGAGCAGCAAACUCAAGUCUGUCUGCAGUCAGGAUUUCAUCCUAUGUGCCUGUUAUUUAGUUAUUUUGCAAAGGGGAUCUGAGCAUACUAAAAAGUAUUUCAGUUGUUCCGUAAAAAGCAAUUUUUAUAGCCAGGUCUCCUGCAGCUUGAAAAUCAAUUCUAAUGAGAUGGAAAUCUGCUGUGGUUCCCUCAUUGUUGCAGUGGAUAGAUUUCAACUGAUGAAUUCCAGUAGUAGAUGUUUGGGUAUGAAAAGCCAAGAGAACAUUUCCUAGGUAGAAUGGAAUAUGAACAUUAUGGGCCUUACUCAGCAAAACUCCUGUUGUUCGAGUAAGGACUGCAAGAUUAGGCCCUGUAAAAUUUGACAAUGGGAAUGCAAGAUUACAAAGACUGUCCAAAAUAGUUAGGCCCAAAAUUCAAAGUCUUGCUAAAAUGGAGUGGGGAGAGGGGAGAAAACCUGGCAUAAAUUGGUUUAGUUCCUAUAGCUGACUAUGACGUUUACACCAGCCGAGGACAGCCGAGAGGCUGUUGUUUUUUUAAAUCUAAGAUCAAUAGAAAUAUUUACAUUAAUUACCAAAACAUCAAAUCAUAACAGGGUUCUCCUGUCAGCAUAGGUACUCUGCCUCCCCAAGAGGUGGUAGCUAGGUCAACAGGAGAAUUUUCCCAUUGACUGAGCACGGUCUAUACUGGGGGUUAGGUCAGUUUAAUUGCCUUGCUUAGGAGUGAGGAUUUUUUACAUCCCUGAGUGAUGUAGUGCCUAAUUUCCUAGUUUAGACCAGGCCACAGACAGGGGAAUACAAGUGAACAAUGGACAAUAUUGGUCAGCAUGUGUUCAAAGAUGCAGUUGGUGGUGUAGCUGAUCCACUUUUUGUAUAUACGAAGGUGUCCAGUGUUAAGGAGUCUAGAGAGCUGGGAAUGGGAAAGGCCUUAAAGAAGGGAGUUGCAAAAGUCAAGGUAAUAAUAGAAGAAGAACUUGAUGAGAAAUUCAGCAGAAAUGGAGUUUAAGCAGCCGCAUUUACAAUCAAAUGUUUAGCCCAUGUCCUAUUUGCAACUAAAAAAUCUCUUUGAAAUACUACUUGCAAUUUCAGCAUUGUUACAAAGCUAUAUAAUUCUUAAUACUUGAUCUAAAAGUCACAGAUUUUUGUGACUUUAAAUCCCCGGUUUUCUGAUAAGGUAAUGUAUUUUUUUUUUUGUUUUUUUCCAAAAUGUAAAAACUUUAUUAUUGUAACAAGGUAUAUAAACAAGAAUAGCUGACUUUUCAUUUCAAUAUUUUUUCAGAAACAAGCAUCUAAACAUGUUACAAGGUAAUCUUGCAGGACAGUUAUCUUUUAGAACUUUUCUUUGAGAUAACCCUUUAAAAUGAAAAAGGAUGAAGACAAAAAAGCAACCAGACUCAUUGGCUCCAGGCUGACUGAUGGGGGAGGGGACUGACUAUAUUUGUCAGGUAGGAUUCCAAAGAUGUGAUUGGCUCCUUUGGAGAGACCUCUGAUGGCCCUUUUAUAAAGUAAAAGCACAUUUUGCUAUUUACUCCCCAAACACAUUCAGGGAGGGACUGAGAGCCAUCUGAGAGUUACAAGAUGCAGGAUAUUCAGAUGUUUGACAUGUGGAAGGACUAUCUGGGGCUGGCAAAAGUGGUGGAAGAGAUACAAAAACAACAGAAUAAAUGGGACAACUUGCAGGUGACUGCUGUCUCUGAAGGUGAGGUAGACAGUCCCACAUUCAGAACAGACCUUUCCCCAGUGACUCUGACAGGAAAUUCUCUCUGUGUUUUUUGCAAGCACAAUGGAGAGUCAAGGAAUAUUUAUAUGGCGCACAAUUUAAAAGACAAGAAGGGACGGGUGGAAUGUCCAAUCCUGCGUAAUUACAUCUGCCCCCAGUGUGGGGCCACACAGGAUAAAGCUCACACCAAACGAUUCUGUCCCCUGACCCAGAAGGGAUACACCUCAGUGUACAACUGCUCCUCCAGGAAUUCAGUGGGAAAGCGGGUGAUUCGGUUUCCCAGUGCCCCUUCUGAAAGGAACAAGGAUGAUAUGUCAUCCCUGCCAAAUGACUUUUAAAAUGGAAAGGCUUCAGCUCCUGGACUCCAUGCUCAGGUUCCAAAGAAUGAGGCAUCUUUUGCCUCACCUUCCCAACUCUGCCUCAGGUGAUGUCCCUCCUCUGGCAUUUCAGGCAUUUGCUGCUCCAUCUGCAUCAAUAGUAGAGGAGGAUGGCAUGGAGGAAGCCAAAGAGAUAUCAUGAGUAAUGCAGGCAAUGUGGGGAGAGAGGUCUGGGAGCCGGAUUCCAUCUGGCACUUGGAGUGAAGUGGCAAAUAAGGGGAGAGAGUAUGGCGGUGAAUUCUCCCAGCAUCAUUAACUUGCCUACCAUUCUACAGGACCAUUUUACUUUUCUAUUCAAGACAAAUACCUGCUUUGGCUUCCAUUGGAUGUUCCAGUUCAUGGAGGGGUAAGACUUACACCUGGGAAGCUGAUGGCAGAUGGCUCUGUCUUUGUGCAAUUAUGUCAUUCAGUUGAAGGGAAUGAGAAAGAAUAUCAACAAAAUAGUCCUGGCCUGAAGACUCCGACAGCACUCUGGCCAUUUGUGAAAGCUCACACAGCAAUCUAAUAGCUCUUAGAAGCUAGGUGUUCCCAUAUUUGAGUUGAGGGGGCAUUAGGUAACAAGGUUAAUAAUUUACCAGCUAAUGUUAAGUGGGUGAGUGUUUAAGAAAUGUUUGUUUUUCCCUCACAGAGUCUCAAGUCUUCCUGUCUUUAUUUUCUUUGAAAAUUGUUUUAUAUGUUAUACAUAUAUAUUAUUUUAUUUGCCAGUUAUUUCUGAAAAUUAUUUUAUUUGCCAGUUUUUGGUUGUCAUUCUAUUGAAAAUGUUAUGUUGUUUCACUAGUAAAAAAAUGUAUUAUAUAAUUCUGUCUUUUUUUUUUUAAACCAAUGGUGCAUGAUAUUAUAGGGAUAAUGAAGUAUUGAAAUGUCUGAAGACUCAUCCAUGGAUUAUGAAGAUUGUGUUCAACUAGUAUUGUUUUUUUUAUUGCAUACAGAAUGAAAAGAGGAAAGAAAAUAAAUAAAUAUCAACA